GAUGAAGAACGUAGCAAAAUGCGAUACUUGGUGUGAAUUGCAGAAUCCCGUGAACCAUCGAGUCUUUAAACGCAAGUUGCGCCCGAAGCCAUCAGGUUGAGGGCACGUCUGCCUGGGCGUCACAUAUCGUUGCCCAAUGCCUAUUGCAGUGCAAUAGGAAUUUCUAGGGCGAAUGAUGGCUUCCCGUGAGCGUUGUUGCCUCGCGGUUGGUUGAAAAUCGAGUCCUUGGUAGGGUGUGCCAUGGUAGAUGGUGGUCGAGUUAGAACGAUACCGAUCAUGUGCAUGCUCCCCAAAAUAUGGCCUCUAUGACCCACACGCGUCUUUUGACGCUCAUGACGAGACCUCAGGUCAGGCGGGGCUACCCGCUGAAUUUAAGCAUAUCAAUAAGCGGAGGA
rnacentral:misc_RNA from 1 species